AAUGAACGCUGGCGGUAUGCCUAACACAUGCAAGUCGAACGACAGCACAGUAAGAGCUGGCGCUUACGUGUGGCGAGUGUCGGAAGGGUCACGUAUACACCGGAUUCUUCUUUUUCGUGGGUGAUAACGUAGGGAAACUUACUCUAAUACCACAUUCAACGUACUGGGAUGGGCAGGCGUUGGAUUAGCUAGUCGGUAGUGAAUAAGCCUACCACGGAGACGCUCCAUAGCUGGUUUGAGAGCAUCAUCAGCCACACUCAGACUGAGACACGGCCCAGACUCCUACGGGAGGCAGCAGUGGGGAAUAUUGGACAAUGGGCGAAAGCCUGAUCCAGCAAUGCCGCGUGAGUGAUGAAGGCCGUAGGGUUGUAAAGCUCUUUUACCCGGGAUGAUAAUGACAGUACCGGGAGAAUAAGCUCCGGCUAACUCCGUG
rnacentral:rRNA from 1 species